GCCCUGCCGGUCCCGACCUAUAGGCUGCAGACGCAUUUUUUCCGGGUCCUCCUCAUUGAUGGCCAUCUUGAACUUCAGGUUGUCGUCGAACUGACACUCGCACAGAUACUGAAGGAUGCUUGACUUGCACUCCAUGGACAUUUCCUGGUAGCCCUUCUGCUCCAGCUCCCAUGCCCAGAAGUCGGGCUCCACGGUUAAUGGAAAGUUCUCCACUUAAACUCCACAAGAUAGUGGCAGCUUGGAGAGAGACACAGUGAGGCAGGGCAGACAUGGAGCCAAGGGCCCGGGCUGGUAUCAAACCCGGACCACUGCAGCACAGACUCAGCACGUCACACUUGGAAAGUUAAAAUGGACUUUGUGACUUUGGGCUAUACAAAUAAAACCUGAUUUGAUUUGAUAUUCAUGUGAACUUUCAAUGGAGACUGCGUCAAACUACUUUUUAUUAUACAUUAGUACAUGUGUUUAAUCAUGUUUAUUGUUGCAUCUGUCCUCUGAUUAUUGUUGUCAUGACACUGCUAUGACUACCUGUUCUGCCUCCACGAUGAUAAAGAUUUCCACUGGCAUUUCUAACCACACAUGUAACAAAAAAAAUACAUGUAACUAAAAAAAAAAAAACAACCUGGGACAAAAGAGGCUGUUAACGUGAGACUGUCACGGAGCCCGUGAAUUUACAGGAAAUUCCAGUUUUCUGUCACUGGCACGUUAAACUAAAAGUUUCUCAUCAUUAUUAUUUAACGCUAACCCUGCUGAAAGAUGAAAUAUAAACACACAUUUAACUCUAACCCUGCUGAAAGAUGAAAUAUAAACACGCAUUUAACUCCAACCCUGCCGAAACAUGAAAUAUAAACACACAUUUAACUCUAACCCUGCCGAAACAUGAAAUAUAAACACACAUUUAACUCUAACCCUGCCGAAACAUGAAAU